AGCAAGCCCAGCAGCCCCGGGGCGGAUGGCUCCGGCCGCCUGGCUCCGCAGCGCGGCCGCGCGCGCCCUCCUGCCCCCGAUGCUGCUGCUGCUGCUCCAGCCGCCGCCGCUGCUGGCCCGGGCUCUGCCGCCGGACGCCCACCACCUCCAUGCCGAGAGGAGGGGGCCACAGCCCUGGCAUGCAGCCCUGCCCAGUAGCCCGGCACCUGCCCCUGCCACGCAGGAAGCCCCCCGGCCUGCCAGCAGCCUCAGGCCUCCCCGCUGUGGCGUGCCCGACCCAUCUGAUGGGCUGAGUGCCCGCAACCGACAGAAGAGGUUCGUGCUUUCUGGCGGGCGCUGGGAGAAGACGGACCUCACCUACAGGUAGGGGCCUGGGAGCAGGACACUAGGAUGCCACCUGUGUGUCCGUGGGAUCCUUCGGUUCCCAUGGCAGUUGGUGCAGGAGCAGGUGCGGCAGACGAUGGCAGAGGCCCUAAAGGUAUGGAGCGAUGUGACGCCACUCACCUUUACUGAGGUGCACGAGGGCCGUGCUGACAU
rnacentral:misc_RNA from 1 species